rnacentral:rRNA from 1 species
UACAGAGACUGCAAGCGUUAUUCGGAUUCACUGGGCGUAAAGGGUACGCAGGCGGUCGGGUGUGUCAGAUGUGAAAUCCCGAGGCUCAACCUCGGAACUGCGUCUGAAACUACUCGACUAGAGUACUGGAGAGGGUAACGGAAUUCACGGUGUAGCAGUGAAAUGCGUAGAUAUCGUGAGGAACACCAGAGGCGAAGGCGGUUACCUGGACAGUUACUGACGCUCAAGCACGAAAGCAUGGGGAGCAAAAGGG